UACGGGGGGGAGCAAGCGUUGUUCGGAUUUACUGGGCGUAAAGGGCGCGUAGGCGGUCGUGACAAGUCACUUGUGAAAUCUCCGGGCUUAACUCGGAACGGUCAAGUGAUACUGUCGGACUAGAGUACAGAAGGGGCAACUGGAAUUCUCGGUGUAGCGGUGAAAUGCGUAGAUAUCGAGAGGAACACCUGCGGCGAAGGCGGGUUGCUGG
rnacentral:rRNA from 1 species